GUGACCCCUUGGACACGUCUCCUGCCAGCAGUAAGGAGAAGAUGGCACGCUUGGUGCCUCUGCUGUUGGGGGCGGCCCUGCUCGCCCCAGGACUUGCUCAAAUCAUUCCUCGUCGGGAAUGUGGAGAGGUUGAUGGUGACAUUUACCAGUUCUCAGCCAAGUCGCUGGAGAAUGGGACAGACGUGAGCUUCGAGGAGUUCCGAGGCAAGGUGGUGUUGGUAAUCAACGUAGCCACCUACUGAGGGCUCACCGUCCCUUCAUAUACCCAAAUGAAUGCACUCGCGGAGUUCUACGUUGAUCAGGACUUCGUAAUCCUUGGAUUCCCCUGCAAUCAGUUUGAAAUGCUGGAGCCGGCGGCCAACGCAGAGAUCAUGAACGGGAUCCGCUACGUACGUCCCGGGGACGGAUUCGAACCCUUGAUGACCCUGUUCGAAAAGACUGAGGUCAAUGGCGCGACCGAGGACCCGCUCUUCACCUUCUUGAAGAGCGCCUGCGAGUCCACGUACACGGAGUUCUACUCUAGUCUCUUUUAUGAGCCCAUCAGGAUUGGGGACAUUCAGUGGAACUUCGAGAAGUUCCUGAUCGGUAAAGAUGGUAAGCCAUACACUCGCUACCACCCGGAUGUUGUGGACCCCGAGGCCCUCAAGGAUGAUAUCAACACCCUUCUCAGCGCCUAGGGGCCCUCCGGGGGGACUUCACGCUGUUGCUGAGGACACCCACAUGUUAUCCUCAAGCUGAGGACACACACAGAAACAUCCUAUCCUCAGGCUACCAGUUAAGGCUGCACGUCCAGCUCCGGCCCACCUCCAUGCAGCGCCCCGCCCAUGACGACGCCGCCAAAAACCCUCAGGUGGGCAGCGUCCGAAGCAGCGGGGAGGGCGCACCCACUUGUGCAUUCCGGAUGCGACUCUUCUGACUAUGGGCUGCUGCAUAGGCUGGGCUGGGCUGGACGGGGCCGCUGGCAGUCGUCAGCCCUGAAGCCCUGUACCCUAAUUAUGAAAUCGCUGUUGAAAAUAAACAUUUUCAUCAAUCAGCGUU
rnacentral:misc_RNA from 1 species